CUCGGAGUUUGAUCCUGGCUCAGAUUGAACGCUGGCGGAAUGCUUUACACAUGCAAGUCGAACGGUAGAGGGGGCAACCCCUUGAGAGUGGCGAACGGGUGAGUAAUAUAUCGGAACGUGCCCAGUCGUGGGGGAUAACGUAGUCGAAAGUUACGCUAAUACCGCAUACGACCUAAGGGUGAAAGUGGGGGAUCGCAAGACCUCGCGCGAUUGGAGUCGGCCGAUAUCAGAUUAGGUAGUUGGUGAGGUAAAAGGCUUCACCGAAGCCAACGAUCUGUAGCUGGUCUGAGAGGACGACCAGCCACACUGGAACCUGAGACACGGUCCAGACUCCUACGGGAGCAGCAGUGGGGAAUUUGGACAAUGGACGCAAGUCUGAUCCAGCCAUUCCCGCGU
rnacentral:rRNA from 1 species